AUGCCAAAUAUCUGUUAUGACUAAGCUAGUCAUCAAUUAUACUUCAUUCUUCACUUAAGAUGUUACUGAAUCUCAUUAUUGAUGAAUUUAUCUCCUAAGUCCAUGGCAUCCAGUAGUUUUCUGACUCACCGGAGAUCAGCUACAAUGCUAAGGUCAGAAAGGACCAAUUGAAAGCAGCAAAGGAUCAAUACCAAUGAUCAUGUUAAUUCUGUUGUCUGCCUUCCAUAUAAAUUUGGGGAAAUUAGCAAAUCAUUGUUGACUAAUGUAAAAUAGACUUCGGAGAGAUUAUAAGAAACCUUCAUCUUCAUGGUACAAAUGAAUACGCCUAUGAGGUGGAAAAUUAACAUGCAAAUAUUACUUACCAAUUCCCUUUAAACCAGUUGAAUUCUUCUAAGAGGAAGAUCAAUUGGUGUAAAUUCUUCCAAUAGCAGGACCAAUUAGCGUCGUGUUGCCAAGGUUGGGCAUGCAGUCCAUUCUUUCUAUUAUCCUCGCUGUUGUAUCACCUCCAUUUCACCAAGUACUCUUGAUGAUCUUUCUUGAAGGCUUUGAAUAACUCGAUGGUCAAGAAUAGUUCAGCAACCCCUUCUAUGCUUUCUCCACUUCAAAUUCAGGUUUCUUCGGGUUAUUUCUGGAUGCUUCCUCCUUAUUUGCAAAAAAAUGGUUUAAGCACACUGACAUGGAGGAUAUUGUUGUUUUACCACCAUGAAGGGAGUUUUACUGUGUUUUUUACUUUUUCCAGUCCACUUCAUAAUGUGCCAUGUCUCUCAUAUGUUGAAAAUUUAAAUAAUAUACACGUCUCACAAUUGUGCUUGAGGCACGUUGUUAUCCAAUGCAGAUUGGACACCAUCGCUUCCUCCUAGUAAGAACGUCUAUGUCGUACAUGCUUGACCCAUUUCUACAUUCUGGUUCAAUUUUUUGCGUUCACAUUGUACAUUGUUAAUUUUGGUCAAUAUCUUUUCUUCGGAAUCGUUCUAGUGUGGUAGUGUCAUUCUUAUGAAUGGGGACUGUGUCUACCCAAAAUAUACCCCAAUUAUUAAUGUCGUCAUUCUCUUCAUUUAUCCUCAAUUGAUGUCACUUUCCCUUAUUUGCAUAUGUGCUCAUCUAUUUUAUCUAUUCCAUGGUCACACUUCUAUGUUAACAUUCUUCAAAUUUGCUAAGUUCAUGUUGUGGUCAUUUUGUUCUUUAACAACCAACUAUUCUCUACAGCUGAGUGUUUGGUUAACAUUUGUUUUGUGGUACUUGUCUUUUGUUCGAUAGGUAUAGUUUGGUAAGAUAUAUCCUUGCAGAAUGCUUACAUUUGUCCAACCUACUCUAAUCUUUUGUGUUAUGUUCUCUUUAAUUCUUUUAUGAACAACAGAACAUAAUAUUGAACAUAAUAGUAUUUGGGAUGCAUGAUCCUCUGUUAUGACUUCGCUCUUAUCCUUAUUUGCACGAUGACUCAAAUGACAUUCUAUGUAUUUCGUCUUAGUUCUACUUAAUUUAAUACUAUUAGAUUCCAAAGUGUUCCUUUGUAUAACUUAUGAUGCAUCCUCAUCCUAGUUUAAUCAGUUAAAACUAUAAAUCAACGAAUAAUAUACGUGAGGAGACCUCAUCUAGGAUGUCUCAUAGGGUCAUCUCUAACUAAAGAAAAUUAGUACUCAUACAUCUUUUGAUUACUCCUUAAUUAUGACUCAUGCUCUUUCAUGCUUCCAUAAUACAAAUAUGACUCCUUUAUUUCCUAUAAAUAUGCACUCUAACACUCUCCUCCAUUUAUUAGGCACCCUGAAAUGUCUACCUCUCUAAGGAACUUCCAUAUUUUAAUGGGGAUUCCAUUUUCAAUUGCUUUUUGCAUCUUCAUUGUUGUAGUAGGCUUCUUCACUUCUAGGGCCCGAAUCUUUUUAGUAUAGUUAAAUACUAGUGUUUUCUAUUUUCUGGUGGUGAUCUCAUUGCUAUAAAGAAAAAACUUUUGGUUUUCAAUCUGAAAAAGAAGAAAUGAAGGAAUAACAAUAAAUAGAGGAAGAGAAAAAGCUAGAAGGGAGGGAGAGAGAAACAGAAAGAGAGGCCUUGGUGAGGAGGUGUCCAUAUAUGUUCUAUUUGAGAUUAGCAAACAAAUACAGUAGGAUCUGGGCUUACUCCAAGGACACUUCAAUCUUGGUUAACCCAGAAGGUGAAAUUUCUUUGAAGUUUCGCCUUUCCCUGCGAUCCCAUUGCCAUGCAUUAUAAACAUCUGAAACGGAGUUUUGGGUGUUAAUAUGAGAAAUGAUGUAAAAAAUUCUGCUCAUAAUUGGUUUGAUUUCAGUGGUUGGAUCCUGGGUCGGACAGGAAAGCUAGUUUAUAAUUGCUUCUUCAUUACUCCUUCAUAUUGCUUAACUAAAAUAUAGAUAAGCGAAGAUUUUUAAAAAUUUUGGCAUCAGCUGACAACGUUCAAACUUUUUCUCCUAAGCCCACUGAGAAGUGACAAGUCUAAAAUAAUUUGAGAACAAAGGACAGGAAAGAUUAAGGUCUUAAGCCUAUUAGACCACAUAUUUUGGACUCAUUUGUGUGAAUAGAGAAUACGGGCUUAUUUCAUUAUGUAAACUAACUUCAGCUUUUGCUAACAACUUUUUGCAUAGAUAUGGUUACUGUGUUGGUUCAGACUUUCUAAAAAUAUUGUUCUUGUGGCAAUUUAAGGUGAGAGUGGGGUUGAGAUUACUGCCAGAUUGAAGAGAGACCUACUCCCCACUUUGUUAAAUGGUCUUCUAUAUUGGCCAAUAUGUGAUUUUUUCACAUACAAAAUCAUCCCUGUCCAUUUGCAGCCCUUGAUGAACAGUUCGUUUUCAUACUUGUGGACCAUAUAUUUGACCUACAUGGCGAGCUUAAAGAAUGCUGUUCUUGAACAUUAAGCAUAGAAUUAUGAACAGUUUUAUAACAUCAUCACUUCACAGAGGUCUCUAGUAGAAUUGGCAUACUUAGUAGGUUAUUUUGAUGUGUUCGAUUCACUUGGCUAUAGCAUAAGGUACAAUUUUUCAAAUCGUCAUUCAAUUUUGUAUACAAAAUUUUUAGUACAUGUUUUGUACAUGAUAUUGAGAUUUUUGCAGCUUUUUCUUC